CAACUCCUCUCUCUCUCUCUCUCUCUCUCUCUCUCUCUCUGUUUCUAUUGAUGACAUUGUAAGUUGAGGGGAGUGUUGCCUGGUUCGCAAUCUUUCACGACAACUAAUUAACCUUAAUUGCCUCGUUCGUACGUUGGUUGGUGUGAAUGAUUUCGGACCAGGCUUCAUUCCCCUCAACCUCGCCCAUGUUUCAAUACAAUUUGCACUAAACUGCAGAGUGAAUGGACGGAUCGGAUAUCAUAAAGCAGCAGAUGAUUGGCACCUGCAAUUAAUAAACGGUGGCCAGUAGUGAAGCAUUAUACGGUGGAUUUAUGAUUUGCUCUCCAAAAACAUCUAUUAACAUGCCUACAAAUGGUAAUAUAACUUACAUUGAAAUUAUUU